GUCCGUGCUGCCUCGACCCCCAGUGAGUCUCUGGAGGGAGAGGGGGCGUCACGGCACUCCAGGCCCUGAGAGGUGCGCCUCAGCCUGGACACUGAACAUAUCUGCACUGGGGCCAUCAUCCAGCCUGCCUGGGUCCUCACUGAUACAUACUGCCUCCUAGGCCUGGUGGAGCAAACAUUAAACUCACUGUCGUUGGAGAUGGGAGACCCGAAGAACCAGAAGCAUGGUGUGAGGAGACUGGUGCUGACCCCUCACCCAGGACUACGAUGUGGCGCUGCUACAGCUGUGCUCCCCGCUGCUCCUCACUGAGCAUGCCCAGUCCGUCUGUCUGCCCUGCUCGGGACAGGAAGCCCCACCCUCCCAGGUCUGCAUGUUCUCAUUGUGGGAGGGUCAGACAGGUGGACCAUGGAACAGCACUGUUGAGCCGCUAGAGGUAUCACUUUUGAGCCAUGCUGACUGAGCGUUAUUACACUGGUAGACUGACCCCUAGAAUGCUGUGUGCGGGGCCACCACAGCAUCAUAUACAGGACACCUGCACGGUGAGGAACACACAGGACUCAUAGACCCACUGUAAACACAGGAACACAGAGGGGAUGGAUGUGUGGUGCCUAAUACAGUACAACAACAGUGGACCCAACUUUACCCAAGGAUUUGUGUUGUCAUACAUCGCCCUCAGGUGACAAUGUUUGGAACUAGGAUU